GACGAACGCUGGCGGCGUGCUUAACACAUGCAAGUCGAACGAAGUGGCGAACGGGUGAGUAACGCGUAAUCAACCUGCCCUUCAGGGGGGGACAAAAGUUGAAAACGACUGCUAAUACCGCAAACGAAAGGGGGGAAUUGCGUCUGAUUAGCUAGUGGGAGGGGUAACGGCCAACCAAGGCGAGGAUCAGUAGCCGGUCUGAGAGGAUGAACGGCCACAUUGGGACUGAGACACGGCCCAGACUCCUACGGGAGGCAGCAGUGGGGAAUCUUCCGCAAUGGACGAAAGUCUGACGGAGCAACGCCGCGUGAGUGAUGACGGCCUUCGGGUUGUAAAGCUCUGUUAAUCGGGACGCGGUACCGGAAUAGAAAGCCACGGCUAACUACGUGCCAGCAGCCGCGGUAAUAC
rnacentral:rRNA from 1 species